rfam:Drosophila mojavensis strain TSC#15081-1352.22 Ctg01_10722, whole genome shotgun sequence.
ACUAAUAUGAUGACCACUUUGAUAGGGACAACUGAUGUCUAUGAAUGAUUUAUCAAUUGUUAAACUGAUCCA